UACGUAGGGGGCGAGCGUUGUCCGGAUUUACUGGGCGUAAAGCGUCCGCAGGUGGUUGUUCAAGUCCGGUGUGAAAGCCCCCCGCUCAACGGGGGGAGGUCAUCGGAGACUGGGCGACUGGAGGAUAGCAGAGGAGAACGGAAUUCCUGGUGUAGCGGUGAAAUGCGCAGAUAUCAGGAGGAACACCGGUGGCGAAGGCGGUUCUCUGGGCAUGAUCUGACGCUGAGGAGCGAAAGUGUGGGGAGCGAACAGG
rnacentral:rRNA from 1 species